rfam:Salmonella enterica subsp. enterica serovar Enteritidis str. LA5, WGS project CAGR02000000 data, contig: Scaffold34-Contig1
GCACCUCAUAAAGCGGGUGCCGGGCGUGGAAACCCGGAAUUCAAUAUAGAGCACAACCGCGCUCAUGCGGUUUUUUC